rnacentral:tRNA from 1 species
GGGGAUUUAGCUCAGUGGUAGAACACUUGCCUAGCAAGCACAAGGCCCUGGGUUCGGUUCCCAGCUCCG